GUAAAAUAAUGGCCUAAUGGUUAGCCAUGCUGGACUACAGAUCAAGCGGCCCAGGUUCGAGCCCUGGACAGAUUCA